UGCCGAUAAACAGGGAUUGAGGACAGUG
rnacentral:piRNA from 1 species